GCAAUGCAGCGUGAAGGCAGCACCGAGGCACGGCCUGUCCCCCACGUAACCCUCAGUCCCCGCCCCUCCAUGCAAUUCAGCCGGCAGGCGGCUGCCAAUAGGGAGGCGAGCUGGGCUGUUGUAUUUAUAGACGCUAUUUAAAGAGCCCCUGGGAGUCUCCGAGCGGCGCUGGGCGGUGGUGGCGGCUGGGGAGAGUGUGGGGAGGGGCGGCACGCGCGGCCAACCGCCGCUACGGGCUGAGGCGGGCCCACAGGGAGGAGGGGAACGUGACCCAGAGCAGCUCGGAUACAUCGCCCUUAUGGAUCGCCUCCCUUCGGCCCUGGGGUGGUGGCGAGCUCAUUCGCUGCUCCCUUGUUAAAGAACGGCCGUGCCUUUUUUUCUUUUCUUUCUCUUGUAUUUUUUUUUUGAGGCCGCAAUGGAGAUGCAGCGUCUCACGGUGCUCGUGUCGUUUCAAGGAGGCGAUGAAAGGCAGCGCUUUGUCAUCGCUGUGCAGCCGAUGGGAGCGAUGAGCUGCUGCUCGCACUCAGUCAGAGCUGAGGAAUGGCCACCUGAGCGCUGCCCUGUCCAUUGCCCUGUCCACAAACAGAGCCGCCGCUCUGUGACUCUAUCAGCAAUAACUGCGUUUCCUUGUGCAGUCUGAGUCACGGUGUGAAGUCCUACCGAAACACCACCCCCCCACACACACACACACACACCUGGAGACAAAGCUCUGUGUUUGUAGGUGUGUUUUUGUACAAACCCUCCCCCCCAGCUGAUGGCUGCCCGCAGCACCGCAGAGCACCGGCUCUGUAGUAAACUGCAAAUGUCUUCUGCUGUGUUUUAAAGGAAAUAAGCUCCAGAGUGUGCCUGGUAGCGAGGCAACCUGCAGGCUGCUGACUGGGUGGAGAGGUGAGGGAUGGGGGCAGGAACUGCUCCUAAUACUCAGCAUGCCUAAAGGUAGGCUGAAAGGCUUCCCUCUGGCUUUUAUUUGGGUUUCCUCAAGCAACCAAGAAAGGGGGAAGGAAAACAAAACCAAAACAUUGCAGGGGGGGAAAAAAAGCCCAACACAACCACACAAAAAUGCAGCCCGCAGCCCACCGCUGUGUAGAGAACUGACUGACCGCAGGCUUCCAGGAGCCUCAAAUAUGCAUUGCUAGUUCCUGGCCAACCAUUUGCUUUGAUGGUGCUGAGAGUGAGCAGAUUGACUUGACCCCUGUUUUGUUUGUGCCUGACGGUUGUUUCCAGGAUGAAACGUAAGUGGAGCUGGGGAAGGGAGAGGCACUGCGAGUAAAUCAGUAAAAAGCAGCAGAUCUCUCAUGCUUGCACUCUUAACCUUACAUCUGAUGCCCGUGCAAUCAGUUCAGAGAUUUUAGUUGUGUUUUGGUCAGGCCUUCCACGAACCUUUAUGCUAAAAUGCUGUAAUGGGUAAAGUACAUCUUAUGAGAGUUUUUUGAGACACUUAGGCUGCCAGUUUCCUUUCCUGUCAAGGAUCUCAUUGCUGCCACAGUGGGAGAGAGGAUGAAACAUAUUUCACAGAUGGAAUGUUCUUCAAGCGAGCUGUUUCAGUUUGGUUGUAGCUUUUUCCCCCUCUGCUUACUCUAACCCUAUUACUUGCACUUCUGUUGGCAUCUACUGUAAAAAUGACUGCGAUGUCUAAAUUUGGUUUUAAAGUUCUGUAUUUUAAGACACCCUGCAGUUUAAGUGAAUACAGGGAAAUUUGUCUACUGAGCUCCUUUUAGUGCGUGACAUUGCCCAGAUCAGCAAUUCUGCAGCUUCUUUGUGUUCUGAAUUGUACAUCAUAAUCGAUGAAAGCACAAACCAGAAGUGUGGAGUUACCCUUGUUGUGAAGUGUCAUUGGCAAAUGCCAUCUGCCCAGCAGUUGUAAUACAAAGGAUGCUCAGUCUCCACCCUGUUCCUCGGUAUGCACAAAGAUGUGAACAGCUUUCACUUUUAAAAUGAGCAGAUAUUGGGGGCUGAGUGCAUGUCCAAAUGUGUUGGAGCAGGAGAGCAGAGGCAGAUGCUUAUAGCAGACCCCUGUGGCUGAUGAGCAGAAGGCUUGUCCUGCAGGGCAAGGUCAGGUGGAGAGGAAGGUCUUGUGCUGACAGAAGGGAGGAAAACAAGCUCCAUCUGUGACUGUGCAGUAAGCCUGCUGGAGGGCUGGUACUGAAAUCCAGGAACCCCGUAUGUGUGCUGGUGGAGACUGGUACUUGCUGGUGAGCAGCCUGAGAUGGGGAACGAUGCUGAAUUCUCUCUGUUCCUCUUUCAGACUCUUCCCUGUGUUUGUUAGCCUACUCAAGACUCAUUCUACUUGUCAACCCUGAAGCAGUUUUUGUUUGUUUUUUUUGUUGGUUGGUUUAUUGCCACCCCUGAGAACUGAAUAGCGUAGGAUAUACUGCAGGGUGUGUGUCCUGUUACCAGACUUGCAGCUCCAUUGGUAUCAAAUCCCCCAUAGCACACAUCUGAUUACCAUAGCUAUAUACUGUGUCCAGACCAAGACUUGUGCUAGUGAGUCUCUUUAGUAGAGAUGCUGAAUAUUAUUCAAGUAAUUGUAGCAAUAUAUAUAAUAUAUAAAGGAAGGAAUGUGGUUUUACUUUCUUGCAAAUGUUUAAGUUAGGGAUUCUCUCAACGUACAAGUGAUCUGGCUUAAACUGCAUUGGCAGAAUUAAAGCAGUGUGGGGCCUGUGGCAAGUUUACUGUUACACUGGCUUUUGCAAAAAGGAGUAUUCAAGCCUUCUUUGGAAUAGUGUUCAGACUACUUUAGUGUACAUUUUUCAGCCCUUAAGUUGCACUGGUCUUUCAUUCCUCAUACCAGCUUGAGUUGUGUCUAUCAGCCUUGGGUCUGAGGGCAUCUGAGCAUGCGAAAAGGAGUCAGAGUUCAAGAACUGGACUUUGAGUUGUGAGUUUGGCUUGCCAUCUGCUCAGCGGGCUCAAGGAACUGGAGGAGUCCAGGUCUUCCAUGCUUUAAGUGAAAUAAUGAAAACUAAGUCACGAUGAUGUUGCCAAAAACAGUGCUCUGCCUGCUGAAAUGCUGCUGCCUCAUGAGAACCGCAGAAAACUUGGCUCAGUUUUCACUUCCUUCAAAGUGUGCCCAGAUGGGACUCUGGGAGAAUAAAAGGACACAUCAGAGGAAAAACUGGAUCUGCAGUUGCUCUCUUCAAGAGCCCUGCUGAUUGGUUGAUUGGUUGGUUGGUUGAUUUUCAGAGCUGGAAAGGAUGUAUUUGUCUUUUCUUCCCCUCUUCUCCCAUCACAAUGGCUGCAGAUUAAAGCUGUUUGUAUUUUAAUAAUUUCCAUAGCAACAUCUCAUCAGCAUUAAUUUGGCUAAAAGAAAAAAAAAAAAAGCUGUGUUUUAUAUGUGGUAUUACAGUAAAGUCUAUAACACAUCACUCAUAGAAGGUGUUUGGAAAUGUGUGUGAAAAAAAAAAAGGUAAGGAAAUCAGAGAAAAUCGUAUUUUAUAAAGUCAGGUAAAGUUGCUGGCAGUUGGUAGCAGUGAAGAGAUAAUAGAAAAUAGGGUUGGUUUGUUUGUUUUAUGAAAAUAUACAAUAUUUAAUUCAGAAGUGUAGAGCUGGAAUAGCAGCCUCUAUAUACAUAGCAAGGAAUAGCUGCUCUGUACUAUUUUUUUCAUGUGGAUGAGUCCAUGUGGCUUUAGCAUAGGCUACUUUGGAAACCACAAACAGGCUCUUUCAGUACAGAGUAUGAGCAUCCACAUGGGCACUUAGACCACAGGAACUAAAUUCACACCCUGGCAAGUGUCACAACAGAUUCCCCAAACAGUAACAAGUAAUUGCUGUGAGCUGGCUGCUGUUGAGAGAGACCUGAAGGACUUCCAUGGUGGAGAGGUGGUUAGUGUCACUUGAAGGCUAAAAGAGCUUGAAGCGACGGAAGAGGAAAUGACUCAGGGUAAGAGGAAAAUCAACUGAUGGCACUGUUUAUUAAAGGAGGUGGAGGAAAAAUAAGCGUAACAUCAUCAUGUCUGUGCAAAGUAUUUCCAAGGUAUGAAAUUGCCAGCAUGAAUUAUGUAUCAGUAUACCAGAGAAUCCUGUAUUUAGAACACAGAUAGACAAUAGCUGAAACGUUGUUGUUUUUCCCCUGGCCUCCCCUCCCUUUUCCUCUCCUCCCACCCACUCUUUUUCUCCUUUGUAAACUCUGGUGGUUUAGAUAAACUGAAACAUUGAUCUAGCCUCAUCUCCCAUUAGAGUCUGCAAAAGGAAAUAUCUGCAAGCAAGAUGUUAUAUAACCAGUACCAGUUAACCAUGUGCAGCCUUCCUUUAUAGGGACUCCUCUGUUGUGGAUUCAACCUUCAAGUUAUGCAUUUUCAGUACAAGUAGAACGUACAAUUUGAAAAUGGAAGUAUAAACAGUCUGCCUCAUUUAUUUGUACCCCAAUUUGUAAAAUGAACAACAGCAGCACAACCACUUUCAUUAGUCUGACAGUAAACCAAACCAAACCAAAACAGCCUUGAAAUGAGCAAAAAGCAGUUCGAUAUGUCAUUUAUAGGAAUCCCUUCACACAAAGAGGUUUCAAAGCCAUUGAUGUACACUGUGCUCUGAGCCAAUUUUUACUCCCUUUUGUGUCUGUGUCUGAAGUAGAGCACAUUCUGACAGACUCCGUACAUUCACGUUGUAUGAGCUUUGUAAAAAGCAAACCUGCAAUGUAGAAACUGCUGCACAGGUUUAUAUUUUAUUUAAUAUUUUAAAUGAAGUAAGGGAGCUAAGCAGACAGAAUGCAUUUGUUAGCUGUAGUUUUGUCUGGGUUUGGGGCUUAAUAUUACUCUUGUUAGUCUGGGGAAAGCUUGGAACAGGCUAGGAAGUAGGAUUUAGGUAAAAGUUACUAUUAUUUUAUAUAGGAGCCAGCCUUCUAUGUAGUAGGCUAGAAGACAUCAGCGUUCACAAGAAAGAGCUAAAUCAAGUGUGUAAUUUGGUGCCUGGCAGUUCGUAUAGACACAAACACACCCGUUGUGGUCAGUUUCUAUGUUUGGGGAUAGGGCACGCUACUUUGUUGUGCUUAUGCUUGAAAACUGUCCUCCCAGCAUUAGACUUUGUGACACUGGCUUCUUUCCUCAAGCAUCUGAGCUAUUUGUUUGCCGCAUUUUCGUUAUAACAAGUUUAGCAGCGAAGAAGCCUGCUUUGAAAAAGCGCAUUUGAUAAAGACAAUAGCAUCUGUUAAGGUUAAAUGCCACGCAAAAUACUUCAAAAAAUGCGUAACUAUUCUUGAAAUGCUGCUAAAGAAAAGAUGCAUUCUUACCCUGCCCCCACACAGCUGAAACUCUGCUUUGCAAUGUUUCUCCGUUGUAGCUCAUGCAUUGAGCGUAGGAUUUGUGUACCUUCUCCUUUCCAUAGAGCAGCUUGUUUAAAUGAAAAUGCAUGCCUGUUUUGCUCUAUAAAAAUAAGUUAUUUCUACAGUCUCUUUUGCUUCUGUUCAAAACAGAUCUUCUCUCAUUACCUGCUUCUGUCACGGUACAACUGUUAGUUGUGCACACAUUCGAAGAGAAAGGCAGCAAUUAAACAACGUAGGUAUUGAUUUCAUUGCCAACUAAAGCCUGGAUUCCUGUUUCAGUGUGAUCCUGUACGCUACUAUGCACAGCUGCUGUCACUCCAAGACCCGUGUCUAAGUUAAACAUAAAUGUAGGUGGAACAUUUGUGUGUGUGUGUGUAAGUGUGCAAAUAUACAUGCGUAUGGACAGAUAUGCUCUGAAAUCAAGGGAAGUCAAUGGGAAGACUCAGCACUGACAUCACUGUGCUUUAUGUUAAGAUUUACCUCUGUAAAAAUUGAUUUUUCUUCCCUUUUGCCUUUAAUGCGUCACCAAACAGGAGUUAUGUUUGUCUCUAUGCAAUGUCUUGCACAAUACAGCUUUUGAAUAGGAUUUUACUGAUUCCUGCAUAUGAAUGUAUGUGAUACAAUUCUGUACUCACCUAGCCAGCCUUUAUCUUGUUUCUCCCUAAAACAAAGAAACUGCAGAACAGAAUAGACUCAAUUAAAGUCAGCUGAAUUAGAUUUCUGUAAUGCACUCCAACUAUUGUUUGUUCACGCCUACAUACACAAUCUCUGUUUUUGAUUGUACUAUGACACUAAUUCUUUCUCUGCCUUCAGUCAAUGAGUAUUUUUGUAAUUAAGGUGUAAAGGAUGGACAUAAACUGGAAAGUUUGGGUGCAAAUAUGAUCGUAUCUUUUUAAGGAGUAAAGUUAAUUUUAAGCUUUUUUUU